GGAGGCCUUCAGGGCAGACUCCAGCCAAUCUACGCAGGGCAGCCUGGAGAGAAAGUAGAAGAGAUCAGGCUGGGACCUGCUCAGGUGCAUGUAUUCCUUCAACUUUCCUGAGAGAUGCAUUUCACAGGGAACAAGGUGGGAACUUGGGGAAACAAAGAGGAAGUGAAAUAUCAGAAUGACGGAAGAAGCAAUGAAGAGGAAUGCAAACUCUCAUUGAGUAUCUGCACACAGUAUCUCCUUUAAUCCCUGCAGGAUACAGCAAGAUACUGAAACCUCCACCAGGUAGAAGAAGUUAACCUGCCCUGAGUGGGUGUCUUGCCCACGGCACAUCAGCUCCUGGCCAAUGGUAGCUCUCGGAGUUUGUCCAGCAGCUGACCACCUUUGCCUCAAGGACAGCCUCAAGGACUUGACCAGGCAUCACUGGUCCAUGGCACUUUCAAUUCCGUGAUGAAGGAAAUAAGGGUCUGGUUUUGGUCUGCUUCUGCUAAUGAACAGACAUUUGGGGGCUGACAGAUGUGAUGCAGGAAGAAUUCUGAUCCUGAGAGGAAAAAAAAAAAAUUCUUAGGAGAAAACUUGAAGUUAAUGCUUACGCUCUUAAAAUAAAAAUACAACCCACUUUGCCUGAGACUUCAGCUUUGGGUUAAUUAAUAAAAGUUCAAACCAAAAAAAAAAAAAAAAAAA